CCUACGGGCGGCAGCAGUGGGGAAUAUUGGACAAUGGGGGGAACCCUGAUCCAGCGACGCCGCGUGAGUGAAGAAGUAUUUCGGUAUGUAAAGCUCUAUCAGCAGGGAAGAAAGAAAUGACGGUACCUGACUAAGAAGCCCCGGCUAACUACGGGCCAGCAGCCGCGGUAAUACGUAGGGGGCAAGCGUUAUCCGGAUUUACUGGGUGUAAAGGGAGCGUAGACGGCGAUGCAAGUCUGAAGUGAAAGGCGGGGGCCCAACCCCCGGACUGCUUUGGAAACUGUAUGGCUGGAGUGCAGGAGAGGUAAGUGGAAUUCCUAGUGUAGCGGUGAAAUGCGUAGAUAUUAGGAGGAACACCAGUGGCGAAGGCGGCUUACUGGACUGCAACUGACGUUGAGGCCCGAAAGCGUGGGGAGCAAACAGGAUUAGAUACCCUAGUAGUC
rnacentral:rRNA from 1 species